CAGGGGUGUAGAGCGGAGGUAGGGAGAGAGGAGGGCAGAACACUGGCGAGAUGGGGCGGCCAGCUGACGGGGACUCUGUGCACAAACAGGAUCGCACACUUACGAUCUCUCAAGCCACAUCCGACCUCACGCCCUUCGCAACUCAAGCAUGGUGAAUAGCGAGUAUUGGAGCAGACAUGGGGCAAAGGAACCUUCACGCACCGUUGGCGGGAGUGUGGAACGGCACAGCUGCUGUGAACAAUUGACUCUGUUUGUAGUGCUCUGAGGACUUACAGUGUGGUUGAAAAAGUGCACUUGUGGGUAUGUGUAUACCUCGGCAACCGGAAGGCGGGCGGGGUCUCAGGCACAUCUGUCUACAGCAGCACUGUCCACUACAGGUGAAAUGCAGACACCGCCCGAUGUCCACGAGAGAUGAGCAAAACAUGCAGAAUAUGUAGUAAUGGGAUAUUAUUUGGGUUAAAAGAAAGGAAAUGCUGGCCCCCACACAUGGGUGAACUCUGAGGACAGCAUUCUUAUUGAAAUAUGCCAUUGAUAAAAACACAAAUAUAGUAUGUUUUCACUGACA